UGGGGAAUAUUGCACAAUGGGCGCAAGCCUGAUGCAGCCAUGCCGCGUGUGUGAAGAAGGCCUUCGGGUUGUAAAGCACUUUCAGCGGGGAGGAAGGCGUUAAGGUUAAUAACCUUGGCGAUUGACGUUACCCGCAGAAGAAGCACCGGCUAACUCCGUGCCAGCAGCCGCGGUAAUACGGAGGGUGCAAGCGUUAAUCGGAAUUACUGGGCGUAAAGCGCACGCAGGCGGUCUGUCAAGUCGGAUGUGAAAUCCCCGGGCUCAACCUGGGAACUGCAUUCGAAACUGGCAGGCUAGAGUCGUGUAGAGGGGGGUAGAAUUCCAGGUGUAGCGGUGAAAUGCGUAGAGAUCUGGAGGAAUACCGGUGGCGAAGGCGGCCCCCUGGUCAAAGACUGACGCUCAGGUGCGAAAGCGUGGGGAGCAAACAGG
rnacentral:rRNA from 1 species